rnacentral:rRNA from 1 species
UACGUAUGGUGCGAGCGUUGUCCGGAAUUAUUGGGCGUAAAGAGCUCGUAGGCGGUCUGUCGCGUCUGCUGUGAAAACUCAGGGCUUAACCCUGAGCUUGCAGUGGGUACGGGCAGACUAGAGUGCGGUAGGGGAGACUGGAAUUCCUGGUGUAGCGGUGAAAUGCGCAGAUAUCAGGAGGAACACCGGUGGCGAAGGCGGGUCUCUGGGCCGUAACUGACGCUGAGGAGCGAAAGCAUGGGGAGCGAACAGG